UUAAGUUCAGCGGGUAUCCCUACCUGAUCCGAGGUCAACCGAGAAAAAUUUGGGGUUGCUGGCCAGCCUCUCCCAGGACCCUAUAGCGAGAAAAUUACUACGCGUAGAGCCUAAGAGCACCGCCACUAGUUUUAAGGCCCGCCCGACGGCGAAGCCCAACACCUAGCCAGGCUAGAUUGGUAUAAAUGACGCUCGAACAG
rnacentral:misc_RNA from 1 species